CGCGGGUGGAGCAGUCUGGUAGCUCGUUGGGCUCAUAACCCAAAGGUCGUAGGUUCAAAUCCUGCCCCGCAACCA
rnacentral:tRNA from 1 species